GGAUGUAGCUCAGUUGGUUAGAGCGCUGGUUUGUGGCACCAGAGGCCGUGGGUUCGAGUCCCAUCUUC
rnacentral:tRNA from 3 species